GAUUCAAGCCCCAGGUGAAGACACCUCCCUCACUGUCCAAGCGUGCUUCUCUACAUGGGCGGCGUCACCACGAUCAAUUUGCCAAUUCAAGCCAAGGGUUGCAUUAGAUCUUCACGAAUCAUAUCUAUUAUUUUGAGGAGCACUCAAACAAUUGUAUUGCAAAACAGUAUGCCUUUGUUUGACGGUGUAUUCACCUCAUCAUACCAUCUGUUCUAAUCAAGG